rnacentral:rRNA from 1 species
GGGUUCAGAACGUCGUGAGACAGUUCGGUCCCUAUCCGUCGUGGGCGUAGGAAAUUUGAGAGGAGCUGUCCUUAGUACGAGAGGACCGGGAUGGACAUACCUCUGGUGUACCAGUUGUCGUGCCAACGGCAUAGCUGGGUAGCUAUGUGUGGACGGGAUAAGUGCUGAAAGCAUCUAAGCAUGAAGCCCCCCUCAAGAUGAGAUUUCCCAACUUCGGUUAUAAGAUCCCUCAAAGAUGAUGAGGUUAAUAGGUUCGAGGUGGAAGCAUGGUGACAUGUGGAGCUGACGAAUACUAAUCGAUCGAAGACU